GAUGAACGCUGGCGGCGUGCUUAAUACAUGCCAGUCGAGCGAACAGAGGCGGAGUUUGCUCCUGUGACGUUAGCGGCGGACGGGUGAGGAACACGUGGAUAACCUACCUAUCAGACUGGGAUAACUUCGGGAAACCGGAGCUACUACCGGAUGAUAUAUUGAACCGCAUGGUUCAAUAGUGAAAGACGGUUUUGCUGUCACUGAUAGAUGGAUCCGCGCCGGAUUAGCUAGUUGGUAAGGUAACGGCUUACCAAGGGAACGAUGCGUAUCCGACCUGUGAGAGUGUUCGCCCUCACUGGAGCUGAGACACGGUCCAGACUCCUCCGGGAGGGACCAGUAGGGAAUCUUCCGCAAUAGGCGAAAAACUGCCGGAGCAAGGCCGCGUGAGUGAUGAAGGUCUUCUGAUCGUAAAACUCUGUUUUUAGGGAAGAACAAAUCUGUAAGUAACUAGUCACGUUUUGACGAUACCGAAUCAGAAAGCCACGGCUAACUACGUG
rnacentral:rRNA from 1 species